rnacentral:rRNA from 1 species
GGAUUAGGCAUGCAAGUCGCACGAGAAAGGUUUCUUCGGAAGCCGAGUAAAGUGGCGAACGGGUGAGUAAUGCAUAGACAACUUACCCUUGAGAUGGGGACAACGCCUCGAAAGGGGUGCUAAUACCCAAUGCCGCCUUGGGCCUGCGGGCUCAGGGUGAAAGGAGGCCUCUGAUUCAAGCUUCCGCUCAAGGAGAGGUUUAUGUCCUAUUAGCUAGUUGGCGGGGUAACGGCCCACCAAGGCUGCGAUGGGUAGCCGACCUGAGAGGGUGACCGGCCACAUUGGGACUGAGACACUGCCCAGACCCCUACGGGAGGCUGCAGUCGAGAAUCUUCCGCAAUGCGCGCAAGCGUGACGGAGCGACGCCGCGUGGGUGAUGAAGGCCUUCGGGUUGUAAAACCCUGUCAGCUACUACGAAACACGGGCGAUGAACAAUUGUCCCGUUUGACUUAAGUAGCAGAGGAAGCACCGGCUAACUACGUGCCAGCAGCCGCGGUAAUACGUAGGGUGCAAACGUUGUUCGGAAUCACUGGGCAUAAAGGGCGCGUAGGCGGUCUGAUAAGUCAGGUGUGAAAUCCCUCGGCCUAACCGAGGAACUGCACUUGAUACUGUCGGGCUAGAGUACAGGAGGGGAGAGUGGAAUUCCUGGUGGAGCGGUGAAAUGCGUAGAUAUCAGGAGGAACGCCGGCGGCGAAAGCGACUCUCUGGCCUGUUACUGACGCUGAGGCGCGAAAGCUAGGGGAGCAAACGGGAUUAGAUACCCCGGUAGUCCUAGCCCUAAACGAUGGGCACUAAGUAGAGGGGUUUU